ensembl:snoRNA SNORD116 Small nucleolar RNA SNORD116
GAAUCAAUAUUGACUAAAAUAAUGGCUCUUCUUGGAAUCUGAACAAAAUUAGUGAUAAGAUCACCUUGCAAAACUGAGGUUU